rnacentral:rRNA from 1 species
GGUUAGUGGCGGACGGGUGAGUAACGCGUGAGAAUCUGCCCUCAGGAGGGGGAUAACAGCUGGAAACGGCUGCUAAUACCCCAUAUGCCGCGAGGUGAAAUGAAUUUCGCCUGAGGAUGAGCUCGCGUCUGAUUAGCUAGUUGGUGUAGGUAAUGGCUCACCAAGGCAUCGAUCAGUAGCUGGUCUGAGAGGAUGAUCAGCCACACUGGGACUGAGACACGGCCCAGACUCCUACGGGAGGCAGCAGUGGGGAAUUUUCCGCAAUGGGCGAAAGCCUGACGGAGCAACGCCGCGUGAGGGAUGAAGGCCUCUGGGCUGUAAACCUCUUUUAUCAAGGAAGAAGAUCUGACGGUACUUGAUGAAUAAGCCACGGCUAAUUCCGUGCCAGCAGCCGCGGUAAUACGGGAGUGGCAAGCGUUAUCCGGAAUUAUUGGGCGUAAAGCGUCCGCAGGCGGCCCUUCAAGUCUGCUGUUAAAAAGUGGAGCUUAACUCCAUCAUGGCAGUGGAAACUGAGGGGCUUGAGUGUGGUAGGGGCAGAGGGAAUUCCCGGUGUAGCGGCGAAAUGCGUAGAUAUCGGGAAGAACACCAGUGGCGAAGGCGCUCUGCUGGGCCAUCACUGACGCUCAUGGACGAAAGCCAGGGGAGCGAAAGGGAUUAGAUACCCCUGUAGUCCUGGCCGUAAACGAUGAACACUAGGUGUCGGGGAA